rnacentral:SRP_RNA from 1 species
GCUGGGCAUGGUGGCUCAUGCCUGUAAUCCCAGCACUUUGGGAGGCCGAGGUGGGCGGAUCACCUGAGGUCAGGAGUUUGAGACCAGCCUGGCCAACAUGGUGAAACCCCAUCUUUA